AUCCUAAUUGUGUUUUCCUCAUCUCUCAGAACUUCCUGAAAAGCAAGAGCAGCUACAUGCCAUCUACAAAGUGUUGGAACAGCUCCCCACCGCAUGCUUCAACACCUUGGAAAGACUUUUCUUCCAUCUAGUCAAAGUGUCUAAAGACGAGUCUCACAACCGCAUGUCUCCCAACUCCCUGGCCAUCGUGUUUGCCCCCUGCAUCCUCCGCUGCCCAGACAGCGCCGACCCACUCAUGAGCAUGAAGGACGUGGCCAAGACCACCACUUGUGUGGAGAUGUUGAUCAACGAGCAAAUCAGACGCUACAAUGAGAAGUUGGAGGAGAUCGAACAGCUGGAGCACGCUGAGGCGCUGGCCGUCAACCAGCUCAAACUCAAGAGAAAGAACACGG